rfam:Triticum urartu cultivar G1812 contig65889, whole genome shotgun sequence.
AUAGUACUCCCUCCGUUCCAAAAUUCUUGUCUUAGAUUUGUUUACAAAUGGAUGUAUCUAUUUCACAUUUUAGUGUUAGAUGCAUCCGUGUCUAGAUAAAUCUAAGACAUGAAUUUUGAGACGGAGGGAGUAGUGA